AUGAACAUUGCCCUCCUAACUAGAUGGCUUUGGCCGAUUACGAACGGCGAGGGUGGCCUUUGGCUCCGCAUCAUUCAGCGGAAAUACCUACGAGGCCAACCCCUCGCCUUUUGCCAGCGGUCCGGUGGUUCCCAGUUCUGGCAAUCUGUCAUACAGCUGCUUCCGGUCCUUCACAUUGGAUCCUCGAUUACGGUCGGAUCUGGUACUGCCACGCUGUUUUGGUUCGAUCGCUGGGCUGGGGAUGCCCCCUUCGCGGCUCGUUUUCCUGACCUGUUCUCCAUUGCGGUAGACCCGCGGAUUUCUGUUGAGACGACCCUUAUUGACUUUGGGCGACUCGCAUUCCGGCGCCAGUUUGGACCGGCAGAGACUGCGGCUUGGGAUGACCUGAUCACUUGCAUUGCGCUACACGAACCUGUGCUUGAGACUGGUGAGGACCGCACUCGAUGGCGUCUAGAGCCAUCCGGGCUUUACUCCACCACGUCGCUCUACAAGGCGAUUGCCCCCACUCCGGGCCCUGCGGCGCUUACCGCCAUCUAGGAGAUCCGGCUCCCCUUGAAAAUUAGGAUUUUCCUGUGGCAAUGGAUUCGUGGCCGCCUUCCAUCUGGGGUGGAAGUCCUGAAGCGCAACAGCCCCGGCGAUGGACGUUGCCCGCUCUGCGGGCCGAAAGAGGAUUCGAACCAUAUCUUCUUCACGUGCUUGUCCGCACAGUUCCUCUGGAGCUGUUUCCUCGAGAUGGUUGGUGGUAGUUGGGACCAUAACAACUUCCCCGAUCUUUUCGCCGAACUCCAGGCACUGCCACCUUUGUCCCGCCACAUUAGAUGGCUGACUAUCGGUGUGCUUGUCUGGACGCUGUGGACUAUUAGGAAUAAGCUUGUGAUUCAGCGUAUACCUCUUCGACGCGCUACUGAUGUGUUGUUCAAAUGGUCUGGUUACUUGCAGCUUUGGCGGCCACUUAGCCUCCCCAGGGAGAGUGACGCCAUCACCUCCAUCAUCACCCAGCUUCGUGCGAUGGCUCUCCGCAGCUUCCUCCACCACCACCUGAGCCAGAUUAGCUCUUCUCCGUCUUCGACGCCGCCACCGUGUGUUGUUUGUGCCACCCUUGUGGUGUUUGGGCUUGUUGUGCUGUGCCCACAGCGGAUUCUAUGGUGUGUGAGUUGUUUGUGA
rnacentral:rRNA from 1 species